rnacentral:rRNA from 1 species
GGGUAACCUGCCCUAUGCUGGAUAAUAACCUCGGGAAACUGAGUAUAAUGAUCCAUAAUUCACUACGCCUGGAACGGUGAGUGGAUGAAAGCUCCGGCGGCAUAGGAUGGGCCUGCGGCGUAUCAGGUUGUAGGGGGUGUAACGUACCCUCUAGCCCUCUACGCGUACGGGUGUUGGGAGACAUAGCCCGGAGAUGGAUUCUGAGACACGAAUCCAGACCCUACGGGGUGCAGCAGGCGCGAAAACUUGGCAAUGCGAGAAAUCGUGACCAGGGAACUCCAAGUGCAUCGGGUAAGACCGGUGCUUUUCUUGACUCUAAAUAGGUCUUGGAAUAAGGGGUGGGUAAGGACGGUGCCAGCCGCCGCGGUAAUACCGGCGCCUCAAGUGGUAGUCGCUUUUAUUGGGCCUAAAACGUCCGUAGCCGGUCUGAUACAUUCGUGGGUAAAUCAACCAGCUCAACUGGUUGAAUUCUGCGAGGACGGUCAGACUUGGGACCGGGAGAGGUGUGGGGUACGCUCAGGGUAGGGGUAAAAUCCUGUCAUCCUGAGCGGACCACCUGUUGCGAAGGCGCCACACUAGAACGGAUCCGACGGUCAGGGACGAAGCCUAGGGGCACGAACCGGAUUAGAUACCCGGGUAGUCCUAGGUGUAAACGCUGUGGACUUGAUGUUGGGGGUGCUCCGAGCACUCUCAGUGUC